UAGUGUUAGAGCUCUUUUAGAGUUUAUCUAUCGUGUUUUUAAAUAUUUACCAGAAAACCCAA
rnacentral:snRNA from 1 species